rnacentral:rRNA from 1 species
CGGGCCUUAGUGGCGGACGGGUGAGUAACGCGUGGGGAACCUGCCUUGCACCGGGGGAUAACACUUAGAAAUAGGUGCUAAUACCGCAUAAGCGCACAGAGCCGCAUGGCUCGGUGUGAAAAACUCCGGUGGUGCAAGAUGGACCCGCGUCUGAUUAGCUGGUUGGCGGGGUAACGGCCCACCAAGGCGACGAUCAGUAGCCGGCCUGAGAGGGUGAACGGCCACAUUGGGACUGAGACACGGCCCAAACUCCUACGGAAGGCAGCAG